rnacentral:lncRNA from 1 species
GCUUUGUUAAACAAGUGCUUGAAGGCAGUAUGCUUGGUAAAAGUCAUCGCCAUUCUCUAAUCUUGAGUACCCAGGGACACGAUACACUGCGGAAGGCUGCAGGGACCUCUGCCCAGGAAAGCCAGGCUUGCAUGAAGGAAAUGAUUUCCUAUGAUUCUGCUUACUGCUUAAAAAAAUUAAUCAAGUUUUCUGCCUGACAAGAUCCAGUAUCUGCCGGAGGAGCCCCACCUUCUGCUACUAUUAUGUUCUUCAGAUGAGUAGAAGAGAGUGGGGAGGGAGAGAGCAGGAAGAAGAAAGGAAGAAUAAUGUCUUGAAAUUGGUAAAAGCGUUUUUGUUUGCACAUCCUGCAUUAUUAAUAUUUCUUGUUUAGCAUAAUUAGCUACCCUCUCAAGCUUACACACAACCUGCAGUGUUUAUGCCUUCCGAUGAUAGCUAAACCAUCAGCAAAGCAGUCCAGGUCCCUGAAGGCUGAAUGCAGGUGGUUCUGAAGGCUGCAGGAUGCAUUCAAAAAGCAGGAUACAUAAGCUUUAAUUGUUGCUAAAAAUACAUUCACUAGAAGAAUCGGACUCCUUCUAUCUGUCUGGAGUGGAUAAAAGCCAACUAUGGAUUCAGUAGUCUAAAGAAAGUCGCAGAAGAACAAAGAAAAGGUAGACAAAUGGGCCCAAAUGAACUUCAUUAAUGAGAAAAAAAGAUAACUAAUAUAAGACAAUACCACUUCUCUUUAUUCAAAUAAUUGGCAGUCAAUUUUACUUGGACAAUAACUAUGGCCUCAAAUGUGAUUUCAGGCUCAACAAAGCAGUGCAAUUUAAGGUCUAUCAUGCCUUGUUGUCAUGCUUCACGCAGCCUGGAAUAAGUAAUUCAAUACCCCUUACAGGAUCACCAGCUAUUAAACCAGGAUAAGAGCUUAGAGGCAGAAUUACACAUUCUAUGAUAUAUUAUUAUUAUAUAAUGUAUUAUUUGUAUUCUAUUAUUACAUGUAUACUUCAGUGGCCUGAGUUAAUAUUUUUCCACCAGCCACUAAUUCCAUACUCAAGAGUUAUUCAUGAAAGAAAAAAA